GAACACGAGCCCUAUCCUUUUCACAUUGUUCUAGAAAUUGGAUAGCAUCAUCAAAAGCCAAAUUUUGCUCAUCUUGCAGGCAGUGAUAAGUAAAGGAAUUUUUAUAAAGAUUCUGACAAGCAGGUACUAUAUUGAGAAUCCGAGAAAUUCCGAUGGUUUUGAGAAGCUCAGCUCGAGAAGCAUUAUCAUAACUCCCUAGAAAAAGAAACUCCGGCAAGAUCUCAGAAGGAAACGCACUGACAUGAACUGAAGAACCCUUUUCAGAUACAUCAGGCAUUCGAUGUCCACAGAUCCCACAAACUUCACCUUCUUCAUAUUUGUGAUAAUGCCCACAAACACCACAUGGAUUUUCCCUCUCCCUCUUCCUCAUAAUUUGAUCAAAUCACAGAAUCAACAACUACCCAGAUGAGUAAAAUUCAAGAUUUAAAC
rnacentral:misc_RNA from 1 species